rnacentral:lncRNA from 1 species
UGUAUCCAUGAGCUUAAAAAAAAAAUCUUUCAUUACAAGAUGAGAAGGUCCCCAAAUUCCUAAUACUAAACUCCAACUCUCUUUCAACUGCUGGCUACCACUCUAACCUAAAGAUAUGCACCAAAUCAUUUUUUUAAGGGCAGCCAAUAUUUUAAUGACAUUGGAAAGAUGACAUCCUGGGUGAUUUUUAUCCUUAAUUAAUGCCAGAAUACAUUUAUGUUUGAAGUAAUGGAAACCCAAUGAGUUUUCAGCUAAACAUGAAUGACUAGCCAAAAAAGUAUAAUCUGCAUAAAUUUAGAUAUGCAUACUACAGUUUGGUUAUGUGUGGUUCUUCCAGGUUUAAAAGUAAGGCUACUUAUUUCCUUAGCCUAGACAUUCUAUGAAAAUUUCAAACAGCUUUAUGUCUUCAAUGAAGUGACUAAUAUACAAGCAUCCUAAUCGCUACAGAAAUUCAAAUUCCCCACCACUCUCAAUCCUUCC